AGUAAGUUAAAGUACGCUGCUGAUGCAUGUGUGCUGUUUAAAGUGUGUCCAGAUGUUUGACUCAGCGUCCUAUUAAAAGCCUUGGUGAUUUAAAGACUUGCCAGGUUUUGGAAAGGGAGGAAAGCCAGAGUACGCGGAGAAAAAUCACCUGCCUACAUCACAGAUCAGGAUUUUCCGUGGUCAGGGUGAUAUUAGGAUGAAUGUUCAAGCACAAGCAGAUAGAGGAAAACAAACAAGUAAAAAUGGAACAUAAAGACCCUGACUGUUGCCUUGGAUGUUGAUCAAAAUUGUCCUACACAAGCAAUAUUCCUUCACGUGAAUUUCA